GACGAACGCUGGCGGCGUGCUUAACGCAUGCAAGUCGAACGAUGAAGAAGAGAAACGCGAACUUCGGUUCAAAUUUCACUUCGGAUUAGUGGCAGACGGGUGAGUAACGCGUGAGCAACCUACCUCUUACAAAGGGAUAGCCUCGGGAAACCGUGAUUAAUACCAUAUGACACAUUCAUAAGGCAUCUUAAGAAUGUUAAAGCUACGGCGGUAAGAGAUGGGCUCGCGUCCCAUUAGCUAGUUGGUGAGGUAACGGCCCACCAAGGCGACGAUGGGUAACCGGCCUGAGAGGGUGAACGGUCACAUUGGAACUGAGACACGGUCCAAACUCCUACGGGAGGCAGCAGUGGGGAAUAUUGCACAAUGGAGGGAACUCUGAUGCAGCGACGCCGCGUGAGCGAUGAAGGAAUUCGUUUCGUAAAGCUCUGUUCUAUGGGAAGAAAAGGACUGUACCAUAGGAGAAAGCCCCGGCUAAAUACGUG
rnacentral:rRNA from 1 species